rnacentral:rRNA from 1 species
UAUACGGGGGAUGCAAGCGUUAUCCGGAAUCAUUGGGCGUAAAGCGCCUGUAGGUUGUUUAGUAAGUCUGUUGUUAAAGACCAGGGCUUAACCCUGGGAAAGCAAUGGAAACUACUAGACUUGAGUAUGGCAGGGGUAGAGGGAAUUUCUAGUGUAGCGGUGAAAUGCGUAGAUAUUAGAAAGAACACCGGCGGCGAAAGCGCUCUACUGGACCAUUACUGACACUCAGAGGCGAAAGCUAGGGGAGCAAAAGGGAUUAGAUACCCCUGUAGUCCUAGCCGUAAACGAUGGAUACUAGAUGUUGCGCAAUUUGUGCAGUAUCUUAGCUAACGCGUUAAGUAUCCCGCCUGGGGAGUACGCUCGCAAGGGUGAAACUCAAAGGAAUUGACGGGGGCCCGCACAAGCGGUGGAGCAUGUGGUUUAAUUCGAUGCAACGCGAAGAACCUUACCAGGGCUUGACAUACUACAAAUCUUUUCGAAACGAAAGAGUGCCUUCGGGAAUGUAGAUACAGGUGGUGCAUGGCUGUCGUCAGCUCGUGUCGUGAGAUGUUGGGUUAAGUCCCGCAACGAGCGCAACCCUCAUUUUUAGUUGCCAAUUUAUUGGGAUUUCUAGAGAGACUGCCGGUGACAAACCGGAGGAAGGUGAGGAUGACGUCAAGUCAGCAUGCCCCUUAUGCCCUGGGCCACACACGUGCUACAAUGGCGAAGACAAAGAGUCGCAAACCUGCGAAGGCUAGCUAAUCUCGUAACUUCGUCUAAGUUCGGAUUGUA